rnacentral:rRNA from 1 species
GACGAACGCUGGCGGCGCGCUUAAUACAUGCAAGUCGAGCGAGAACUAGGGCUUCGGCCCUGGGGACAGCGGCGAACGGGUGAGUAACACGUGGGUAAUCAACCCCCGACACCGGGAUAGCCCAGGGAAACUUGGAUUAAUACCGGAUGCCCCAUCUGGCUUUCGAGCCGGCUGGAAAAGGGUAGCUUCGGCCUCCGGUCGGGGCCGAGCCCGCGGCGGAUUAGCUUGUUGGUGAGGUAAAGGCUCACCAAGGCGACGAUCCGUAGCUGGUCUGAGAGGACGAGCAGCCACACGGGGACUGAGACACGGCCCAGACUCCUACGGGAGGCAGCAGUAGGGAAUCUUGCGCAAUGGGCGAAAGCCUGACGCAGCGACGCCGCGUGAGGGAAGAAGGCCUUCGGGUUGUAAACCUCUUUCAGGAGGGACGAAGCCACUCGGGUUAAUAGCCUAGAGGGUGACGGUACCUCCAGAAGAAGCCCCGGCUAACUACGUGCCAGCCGCCGCCGUAA